GAUGAACGCUAGCUACAGGCUUAACACAUGCAAGUCGAGGGACCGGCGCACGGGUGAGUAACACGUAUCCAACCUGCCCUUUACUCGGAGAUAGCCUUUCGAAAGAAAGAUUAAUACCCGAUGUAAAGGAUUGUGAUGCGUUCCAUUAGGUUGUUGGUGAGGUAACGGCUCACCAAGCCUUCGAUGGAUAGGGGUUCUGAUAGUAAGGUCCCCCAGAUUAGAACUGAUACACGGUCCAAACUCCUACUUGAGGCAGCAGUGAGUAAUAUUGGUCAAGGGGCGUUAGCCUGAAACAGCCAAGUAGCGUGAAGGAUGAAGGCUUAUGGGUCGUAAACUUCUUUUAUAUAAGAAUAUGUAUUAUAUGAAUAAGGAUCGGCUAACUCCGUGCCAGCGGCCGCGGUAAUAC
rnacentral:rRNA from 1 species